rnacentral:rRNA from 1 species
AGUCGAGCGGUAGCACAAGAGAGCUUGCUCUCUGGGUGACGAGCGGCGGACGGGUGAGUAAUGUCUGGGAAACUGCCUGAUGGAGGGGGAUAACUACUGGAAACGGUAGCUAAUACCGCAUAACGUCGCAAGACCAAAGAGGGGGACCUUCGGGCCUCUUGCCAUCAGAUGUGCCCAGAUGGGAUUAGCUAGUAGGUGGGGUAAUGGCUCACCUAGGCGACGAUCCCUAGCUGGUCUGAGAGGAUGACCAGCCACACUGGAACUGAGACACGGUCCAGACUCCUACGGGAGGCAGCAGUGGGGAAUAUUGCACAAUGGGCGCAAGCCUGAUGCAGCCAUGCCGCGUGUGUGAAGAAGGCCUUCGGGUUGUAAAGCACUUUCAGCGAGGAGGAAGGKGGKGAKCUUAAUACGUUCAUCAAUUGACGUUACUCGCAGAARAAGCACCGGCUAACUCCGUGCCARCMGCCGCGGUAAUACGGAGGGUGCAAGCGUUAAUCGGAAUNUACUGGGCGUAAAGCGCACGCAGGCGGUUUGUUAAGUCAGAUGUGAAAUCCCCGGGCUCAACCUGGGAACUGCAUUUGAAACUGGCAAGCUAGAGUCUCGUAGAGGGGGGUAGAAUUCCAGGUGUAGCGGUGAAAUGCGUAGAGAUCUGGAGGAAUACCGGUGGCGAAGGCGGCCCCCUGGACGAAGACUGACGCUCAGGUGCGAAAGCGUGGGGAGCAAACAGGAUUAGADACCCUGGUAGUBCACGCUGUAAACGAUGUCGAUUUGGAGGUUGUGCCCUUGAGGCGUGGCUUCCGGAGCUAACGCGUUAAAUCGACCGCCUGGGGAGUACGGCCGCAAGGUUAAAACUCAAAUGAAUUGACGGGGGCCCGCACAAGCGGUGGAGCAUGUGGUUUAAUUCGAUGCAACGCGAAGAACCUUACCUACUCUUGACAUCCAGAGAACUUUCCAGAGAUGGAUUGGUGCCUUCGGGAACUCUGAGACAGGUGCUGCAUGGCUGUCGUCAGCUCGUGUUGUGAAAUGUUGGGUUAAGUCCCGCAACGAGCGCAACCCUUAUCCUUUGUUGCCAGCGGUUCGGCCGGGAACUCAAAGGAGACUGCCAGUGAUAAACUGGAGGAAGGUGGGGAUGACGUCAAGUCAUCAUGGCCCUUACGAGUAGGGCUACACACGUGCUACAAUGGCAUAUACAAAGAGAAGCGACCUCGCGAGAGCAAGCGGACCUCAUAAAGUAUGUCGUAGUCYGGAUUGGAGUCUGCAACUCGACUCCAUGAAGUCGGAAUCGCUAGUAAUCGUAGAUCAGAAUGCUACGGUGAAUACGUUCCCGGGCCUUGUACACACCGCCCGUCACACCAUGGGAGUGGGUUGCAAAAGAAGUAGGUAGCUUAAC